rnacentral:rRNA from 1 species
UCGGGAAUUUUGGGCAAUGGGCGAAAGCCUGACCCAGCAACGCCGCGUGAAGGAUGAAGUAUUUCGGUAUGUAAACUUCGAAAGAAUAGGAAGAAUAAAUGACGGUACUAUUUAUAAGGUCCGGCUAACUACGUGCCAGCAGCCGCGGUAAUACGUAGGGACCAAGCGUUGUUCGGAUUUACUGGGCGUAAAGGGCGCGUAGGCGGCAAUUCAAGUCAUCUGUGAAAUCUCCGGGCUUAACUCGGAACGGUCAGAUGAUACUGCUUUGCUAGAGUGCAGAAGGGGCAAUCGGAAUUCUUGGUGUAGCGGUGAAAUGCGUAGAUAUCUGGAGGAACACCGGUGGCGAAGGCGGCUAUCUGGCUCACAACUGACGCUCAGGCACGAAAGCGUGGGUAGCAAACAGGAUUAGAUACCCACGUAGUCCCUGAGCGGGCUGGCAAGGCGCAU